AUUGAACGCUGGCGGCAGGCUUAACACAUGCAAGUCGAGCGGAGUGAUGGUGCUUGCACUAUCACUUAGCGGCGGACGGGUGAGUAAUGCUUAGGAAUCUGCCAUUUAGUAGGGGACAACAUUCCGAAAGGAAUGCUAAUACCGCAUACGUCCUACGGGAGAAAGCAGGGGAUCUUCGGACCUUGCGCUAAAUGAUGAGCCUAAGUCGGAUUAGCUAGUUGGUGGGGUAAAGGCCUACCAAGGCGACGAUCUGUAGCGGGUCUGAGAGGAUGAUCCGCCACACUGGGACUGAGACACGGCCCAGACUCCUACGGGAGGCAGCAGUGGGGAAUAUUGGACAAUGGGCGGAAGCCUGAUCCAGCCAUGCCGCGUGUGUGAAGAAGGCCUUUUGGUUGUAAAGCACUUUAAGCGAGGAGGAGGCUCUCCUAGUUAAUACCUAGGAUGAGUGGACGUUACUCGCAGAAUAAACACCGGCUAACUCUGUGCCAGCCGCCGCCGUAAGAC
rnacentral:rRNA from 1 species